rnacentral:rRNA from 1 species
GAUGAACGCUGGCGGCGUGCCUAAUACAUGCAAGUCGAGCGAAUGGAUUAAGAGCUUGCUCUUAUGAAGUUAGCGGCGGACGGGUGAGUAACACGUGGGUAACCUGCCCAUAAGACUGGGAUAACUCCGGGAAACCGGGGCUAAUACCGGAUAACAUUUUGAACCGCAUGGUUCGAAAUUGAAAGGCGGCUUCGGCUGUCACUUAUGGAUGGACCCGCGUCGCAUUAGCUAGUUGGUGAGGUAACGGCUCACCAAGGCAACGAUGCGUAGCCGACGUGAGAGGGUGAUCGGCCACACUGGGACUGAGACACGGCCCAGACUCCUACGGGAGGCAGCAGUAGGGAAUCUUCCGCAAUGGACGAAAGUCUGAUGGAGCAACGCCGCGUGAGUGAUGAAGGCUUUCGGGUCGUAAAACUCUGUUGUUAGGGAAGAACAAGUGCUAGUUGAAUAAGCUGGCACCUUGACGGUACCUAACCAGGAAGCCACGGCUAACUACGUGCCAGCCGCCGCAGUAA